AUCUACAACCAGAUGCUCCGCAGGGCGUAGCUUUAUACGACCGCAGAGGUUGAACCCUGAACGGUUGGGGCAAGUAUGGACACAACAUUCAAGCUGGAUUCAGCUCUAAAUUUGGAUUGUGAUUAAAUAGUUGACACAGCAUAGGUUUCUGACACAGAAUGAAUGUGUUCUAAUGAACUUAAAAUUUUUGUUUUCUCUUAGAGCAAUUCACUAUGCUGUUGAAUAUUAAUCCUCUCAAAACAAAAA
rnacentral:lncRNA from 1 species